UUAUCUCUCUGUGCAUGUGCUCCUGACAAUGUAUAGGAAUCCAGUAAAAUACGAAGAAUUUCAAGAAACUGGCAGUGCAUGUCCUCUCCAAAAUCCGUUAUCAUACCUUGAACCAACAAUCCUAGAAGUGGAAUUCCUUCCUGCCUAACAACAUAAGAGCGCAAAAGAUUUGGAUCCUGAUUCAAGAAAAGAAUAAGGAUAUCUGUCCCAGUUAAUACAAGUUUCUUAUCUUGAUUCUGCAAAGCUUCUGUUAUGAUGUCAAAAAUACCUUCAUUCAUGAGAUCCCUAAACAGUCGAAGUUGCUGGACCAUCUGCAGGCUCUUGCUUAAACUACAAAACUCAUGUAGGAAAUAUACCAAAUUUUUCUUUGAU
rnacentral:misc_RNA from 1 species